rnacentral:misc_RNA from 1 species
GAGUGUGAGCAACAGCUGAACAGCAUCAAGUACGGCCGGAAAACGCUCGCUCAGAUAUUCCAGGAACAAGAUACGCUUAUCCGACAAAUAGUCCAGGAGUACAAAUCCGGGAAAUCCCAAGAUUCCAGUUGAUUGUCAAAAACUUAGGGUGGUAGGGGACACUUGUUGAUAUUAUUGUGGUUAAAAGUACAUAAAAAUCAAAAUACUUUCACUGGUUCAGAAUUUUCAAAAUUCACAAUGUUUUGCCAUUGAAGAAAAAGAUUUUUGAAAUUAUACUUGAUUUCAUUGUUUAUUCUGAAAGGAAUUGCCUCACAAUAUGGAGCUGUCCCACACUACCUUAAGAUUAAUCUUUUUUUUUUAAGUGCCCAUAAUGGAACAUUGCAUGGAACAUUGCGUGGAACAUUACAGGGAACAUUACAUGCAAACCAAACUGUGAUAAUGUUUGUUGUCCAGGCUUUGACACACUGACAGUGUAACUGAAGUUAUAAACACACAGUUUACACAGAUUAUGUGUUGAGAACUUGUUCAUUUUCAUUUUGUACCGGUUGAUAUACCUUGUUAUAUACAUAAUAAUUUAAUGCAAAAUGUACCUGUUUUUACAACAUGAAUGCAAUAUGAAAUGAAACUGUUUAUAAUAAUUAUUAUGUAUAAUAAUUCAAUAUAAACUCAUUUAAACAUG